UACGAAGGGUGCAAACGUUAUUCGGAAUCACUGGGCGUAAAGGGUGUGUAGACGGCCUACUAAGUUCGUUGUUUAAUCUUCCGGCCUAACUGGAAGCUCGCAAUGGAAACUGGUAAGCUUGAGGAUGGAAGAGAGAAGUGGAAUUCUCGGAGUAGCGGUAAAAUGCGUAGAUCUCGAGAGGAACACCGAUGGCGAAGGCAGCUUCUUGGUCCAUUCCUGACGUUGAGACACGAAAGCGUGGGUAGCAAACAGGAUUAGAUACCCUGGUAGUCCACGCUGUAAACGAUGAUCACUGGAUGUCAGCUUCGCUUUGCGAGGUUGGUAUCGAAGCUAACGCGUUAAGUGAUCCGCCUGGGAAGUACGGUCGCAAGAUUAAA
rnacentral:rRNA from 1 species